AAGUCGUAACAAGGUUUCCGUAGGUGAACCUGCGGAAGGAUCAUCAUUAAAUCCAUUUAUACACCCUUGUGAACUGUGCGCUGAAGUUGCUACGCUUGUCGUGCAUCUUUCGUUGCAAAAACUACUUAAUUUAAUAAAGCUGAAGCAAUUAUUUUAAAUAAAACAACUUUCAACAAUGGAUCUCUUGGCUCUC
rnacentral:misc_RNA from 1 species